rnacentral:misc_RNA from 1 species
AACGCACAUUGCGCCCAUUAGUAUUCUAGUGGGCAUGCCUGUUCGAGCGUCAUUUCAACCCUUAAGCCUAGCUUAGUGUUGGGAGACUGCCUAAUACGCAGCUCCUCAAAACCAGUGGCGGAGUCUGUUUGUGCUCUGAGCGUAGUAAUUUUUUUAUCUCGCUUCUGCAAGCCGGCCAGACGACAGCCAUAAACCGCACCCUCUCGGGGGGCACUUUUUUAAUGGUUGACCUCGGAUCAGGUAGGAAUACCCGCUGAACUUAA